rnacentral:rRNA from 1 species
AGAGUUUGAUCAUGGCUCAGGAUGAACGCUAGCUACAGGCUUAACACAUGCAAGUCGAGGGGAAACGACAUCGAAAGCUUGCUUUUGAUGGGCGUCGACCGGCGCACGGGUGAGUAACGCGUAUCCAACCUGCCCAUCACUUGGGGAUAACCUUGCGAAAGUAGACUAAUACCCAAUGAUAUCUCUAGAAGACAUCUGAAAAGAGAUUAAAGAUUUUAUCGGUGAUGGAUGGGGAUGCGUCUGAUUAGCUUGUUGGCGGGGUAACGGCCCACAAGGCUACGAUCAGUAGGGGUUCUGAGAGGAAGGUCCCCCCACAUUGGAACUGAGACACGGUCCAAACUCCUACGGGAGCA